CUCCAGGAUUGUGUCCAUUCGAUAAUAUGGCUAGAAAGAGGAACCCAAUUGUCUAUCUGGAUGUAUCCAUAGGUGAUGAACUAGAUGGAAGAAUGAUCUUUGAGUUAUUUGCUGAUGUUGCUCCCCUGAUAUCUGAGAACUUCAGAGCUUUAUGCACAGGUGAGCUGGGAAAGACUAAGAAGCCAUUAUGCUACAAGGGUUCAACCUUCCACCGUGUCAUCAAGGGGUUCAUGGCACAAGUUAGUUUCUCUUCUUUUUCUUCUUUUUCGUGCAUUUUGCUUCAUAGUCUGUAAUAAGGUACAAUGUUUGUCUUUGGUGGUUAGCUUUGUCUUGUUCUGUUUUUAGUCAGUUUCCUGUUUCUUUUUUUUCAUGAUGUAGGAUGCAAGACAGAUGAACCAUAGUCUGUAAUAAGGAUGCAAGACAGAUGAGUCAUAGUCUGUAAUAAGGAUGCAAGACAGAUGAUGUCGACUGCAUUUCAUAUCAUAUAGUAUUUAAGGGAGGUGACUUCGCAAAAGGAAAUGGUUCUGGUGGAGAAAGCACAUAUAGUGGGAAAUGUGCAGAUGAAGCUGGUGUCCUACGCCAUGAUGAUCGUGGUCUCUUGACAACGGCAGAUACUGGCUCCCAAUUUUGUAUUACUUUCAAGCCUAAUUCUCAUCUUGACAGAAAACACACUGUUUUUGGCAAGCUUCUUGUUGGAAAUGAUGUGUUAAAGAGGAUCGAACAAGUUGAUGUGCAUGAACCUGAUUCGACUCCAGUUGUUCCGGUUAGGAUAGUAGAUUGUGGGGAGCUCACUGACUGCAAACAUCAAGAUUCUGUGACCACUGAAAAUGAUAAAAAGAGGGGUGCCAAAACAAAGUUGUUGAAAGAUAUAUCUUCCGAUGAGGAAAGUAAUGAAGGACAACACAAGGGACGUCGUAAGAAGUUAUCAAAAAGGAAAAGGAAGAAGAGGAGAUAUUCUUACUCGGAAUCAGAUAGCUCUUCUGAGUCAGAGACUGAAUCGUCUGAUUCUGAGAGCGAUUCUGAUACUUACUCAAGUGACUCAUCUGAUGUCAGUAGCUCAAGUGAUGACAGACGAAGGCGCAGAAAAAGACACUCAAAGAAGAAUAAGCGCAAGCGUUCAAGAAGAAAGCGCGACCAUAGGCGUGAGAGAAGGCGUAGGAAGCGUGAUAGGAAAGCAAAACAGAAGUCAAAAAGGUUGAUAGAGAGUGACAGUGAAGCUGAAAGUACGAGUGAUAGCAGCUCUGAGGAUGCCAGAAGCAAGCGACACCGUCAUGGGCUGAAGUCCAAGGCAUCAUCUCAAGUUUCUGCGGAAAAUCUUGCUGCGGUAGCUGUUUUGAAGGAAGCCACAUCAACUCAACAAAUGAGUGGAAUGCCAAGGAGUCCCGCACAAGAAGAUAACUCCCCCCUGCAAAAUGGGGAGAUCCAUACAAAUGGCGUUAAUGAAUCAAAAACUGAAAGGAAUGCAGCUACCAUGCCUGUUCUAACUGGCAAUCGAAGCAAAUCUAGGAGCCAGAGCAUGAGUGCUAAUCACUCAAUGAGCAAGAGUAUGAGUAUCAGUCCAAGGAGAAGCCUGAUUAGAACGGUAAUUACCACCCCGAAGAGAUCAGCUAGCAGGAGCCCUGUUCACUGUAGUCGCAGUACAAGCCCUGUCCAUGAUCCCAAAAGAAGUAAAAGCCGGAGUCCAGCUAGACAGCGGAGCAUCAUCAGGAGCCCUGCUAGAAGAAGCCCCAGCAAGAGCUCACCCAGAGAUGCAAGCAGAAGCCCGACUCCCCGCAUGAGCAGGAGUCCUGUUAAAGGUCAAAGAAGUAUCAGUAGGAGCUCAGCUAGGUCCAGGCAACGAAGAACUCCAAGCAGGAGCCCAGAGAGAACUCAUCUAAGUAAAAGUGUCAGCCCAAGCCCACCUGUGGAGAAGAGAAGAAGCAUUACACGGACCUCUGCAAGAUCUCCAUUGCGAAGUGUUAGCCGGAGCCCUGCUAGGUUUUCAAGGAGCCCACAUAGGCCUUCCAGGAGAAGCCCAAUCAGAAGUCCUCGAAGGAACAUACGUAGAAGCGUGAGCAGGAGCCCUGUGAGAAUACCUAGAAGAAAUGUGAGCAGAAGCCCUGUAAGAGGUGGUCGACCUCGCAGGAACAUCAGCAGAAGUCCCAGUCCACCUCGCAGGGCAAUGUCACCCCAACCAAACAAUGGGAGGAGCCCAUCCAGGACUGGCUCUCCUGAUGGGUCUCCAAAACGCAUAAGGCGGGGACGUGGUUUUACUCAGCGGUACUCAUUUGCAAGACAAUAUCGCUCACCUUCUGCUGAUCGCUCGCAUCGAUAUGGUGGAAGAAGUGACCGUGACAGAUACAUGGGUUACCGGGGUUCCCGCCAUCGAUCACCUCCUCGACGGUAUAGAAGCCCUCCUAGAGGCAGACCAUCGUCACCAAGUAGGUACAGGAGGAGGAGCCGUAGCACCUCACACAGCCCUGUCCACAGAGAUCGAGGAAGGGGAGGUGGCUACAGCAGAAGCCCUCUACGGAGUCGCUCGCCCCCUGCUGGGAAACCUAGGUCACAUGGUGAGCGUGCACGGUCAGUCUCCAGGAGCCGCCUGUCCGGUUCAAGAUCAAGGUCUCCACCAGCAGCACAUGAUCGGUCUCCACCUGAUUCCCCAUCUCCUAAGCGUGCAAGCGAUGAGAAGUCCCGGUCCCGCUCCCGUUCCCUGUCAGCAAGCCCUAGUCCUGGUGGCAAGAAAGGCCUGGUUUCAUACGGAGACGGCUCCCCAGAUUCUGCUGGAAAGUAGGAGGCUUUAUGUAGUGAAAUGUUUUUACUACCUUUGGGCAAUUGGUGGUUGAUCGAUCCAUUUGCUCUUUAUGUUAAAAUUGCUACUGGUUUUCUGUAGAGAAGCUGUUUUGAUACUCGAGGCCCUGGUGUUGUUUUCGCUGUAGAAGUGUUAAACAUGUUGUUUGGGAUCAUCGCGGAUGUGGUUCAGUUACACUCGCACAAAUAAUCUGAGCCUAGCAUAUGUUUUUGUAGAACUUGUUGCACGGUUUCUGUUCGUUGGUGGAACUAAAUGAGAAUCAUAAUAAUAUUUUGCUCUUGAUACCGAUA